rnacentral:rRNA from 1 species
UAAGGAAUAUUGGUCAAUGGACGAAAGUCUGAACCAGCCAUGCCGCGUGAAGGAUGACGGCCCUCUGGGUUGUAAACUUCUUUUAUCUGGGACGAAAAAAGGUCAUUCUUGAUCACUUGACGGUACCAGAGGAAUAAGCACCGGCUAACUCCGUGCCAGCAGCCGCGGUAAUACGGAGGGUGCAAGCGUUAUCCGGAUUUACUGGGUUUAAAGGGUGCGUAGGUGGGUCUGUAAGUCAGUGGUGAAAUCUCCGAGCUUAACUCGGAAACUGCCAUUGAUACUAUAGGUCUUGAAUUAUCUGGAGGUAAGCGGAAUAUGUCAUGUAGCGGUGAAAUGCUUAGAUAUGACAUAGAACACCAAUUGCGAAGGCAGCUUACUACGGAUUGAUUGACACUGAGGCACGAAAGCGUGGGGAUCAAA